UCACAUUGGCGUUGUUGGGGCUCACAUUGGGGUUCACUUUGGGGCUCACGUUGGUGUUGUUGGGGCUCAUGUUGGGGUUCACUUUGGGGUUCACAUUGGCGUUGUUGGGGCUCACGUUGGGGUUCACUUUGGGGUUCACAUGGGUGUUGUUGGAGUUCACGUUGGGGCUCACAUUGGCGUUCACAUUGGCGUUGUUGGGGCUCAAAUUGGGCUUCAUUUUGGGGUUCACAUGGGCGUUGUUGGGGCUCACGUUGGGGUUCACUUUGGGGUUCACAUGGGUGUUGUUGGGGCUCACGUUGGGCUUCAUUUUGGGGUUCACAUGGGUGUUGUUGGGGCUCACGUUGGGCUUCACUUUGGGGCUCACGUUGGUGUUGUUGGGGCUCAUGUUGGGGUUCACUUUGGGGUUCACAUGGGUGUUGUUGGG
ensembl:lncRNA